GUGCUCGUUUCAGCAGCACUUAAACUCAAAUUGGAAUGAUACAGAGAUUAGCAUGGCCCCUGUGCAAGGAUGACACACAAGUUCGUGAAGUGUUCUAUAUUUAA